GAGGGUAUAGCUGAAGUGGUAUAGAGUGCAUGCUUAUUAUGCAUGAGGUCCUGGGUUCAAUCCCCAGAGCCUCCU
rnacentral:tRNA from 1 species